GGGGCUAUAGCUCAGCUGGGAGAGCGCCUGCUUUGCACGCAAGAGGUCAGCGGUUCGAUCCCGCUUAGCUCCACCA
rnacentral:tRNA from 1 species